AUGCACGCUGGCGGCGUGCCUAAUACAUGCACGUCGAGCGAACGGACGAGAAGCUUGCUUCUCUGAUGUUAGCGGCGGACGGGUGAGUAACACGUGGAUAACCUACCUAUAAGACUGGGAUAACUUCGGGAAACCGGAGCUAAUACCGGAUAAUAUUUUGAACCGCAUGGUUCAAAAGUGAAAGACGGUCUUGCUGUCACUUAUAGAUGGAUCCGCGCUGCAUUAGCUAGUUGGUAAGGUAACGGCUUACCAAGGCAACGAUGCAUAGCCGACCUGAGAGGGUGAUCGGCCACACUGGAACUGAGACACGGUCCAGACUCCUACGGGAGGCAGCAGUAGGGAAUCUUCCGCAAUGGGCGAAAGCCUGACGGAGCAACGCCGCGUGAGUGAUGAAGGUCUUCGGAUCGUAAAACUCUGUUAUUAGGGAAGAACAUAUGUGUAAGUAACUGUGCACAUCUUGACGGUACCUAAUCAGAAAGCCACGGCUAACUACGUG
rnacentral:rRNA from 1 species